AAGUCCAUUUUAUUUCCUAAUUAUUUAUACUCUUUUU
rnacentral:tRNA from 1 species